rnacentral:rRNA from 1 species
GAUGAACGCUGACAGAAUGCUUAACACAUGCAAGUCUUUGGCGAAGCUGUGCUCGCACAGCCUAGCCAAGGCGGACGGGUGAGUAACGCGUAAGGAACUUGCCCUGCAGUCAGGGAUAACAGACGGAAACGACUGAUAAGACCUGGUAAAGUCAGGCGGACUCAUGUCCAGCCUGAUGAAAAGAGAUGCUGCAGGAGAGCCUUGCGUCCUAUUAGCUUGUUGGUGGGGUAACGGCCCACCAAGGCGAUGAUAGGUAGCCGGCCUGGGAGGGUGGACGGCCACAAGGGGACUGAGAUACGGCCCUUACUCCUACGGGAGGCAGCAGUGGGGAAUAUUGGACAAUGGGGGCAACCCUGAUCCAGCAAUUCUGCGUGCACGAUGAAGGUUUUCGGAUUGUAAAGUGCUUUCAGCAGGGAAGAAAAAAAUGACGGUACCUGCAGAAGAAGCGACGGCUAAAUACGUG